CAGCCCCGGCCCGCGCGCCGCGUCGUUCCCCGGGAGACCGCGGCCGGCGCUUGGGGGCGGGCCCUCGGCCGCCCGUGCGUCUCUCUGGGAAACAAGCCGUCUUACUCUGAGGAAGCAGGAGUCCGCAAGGACCCGCCGCCUUUGGAACUCGUCGUUGCCGGCCUUCCGUGCGACCGCAGUUCAAGCUGUCCCCGCUGACCGCAAGAAAAAAAAAAAGAGAGAGAGAGAGAGAUCCCGGUAGGCUUUGAUGGGCGGGCCUGACGGCGGGACGCCAGCGGUGCGCGUGACGUCAGCGCGUUGACGUGGCUUCCUAGGCGGGAGGGAGUGCCGCUUGGGAGAGCUGCCGGGCUCCUGAAGGAGGCGUCAGCCAACAUCUAGUGAUCCGUUCCCCUUACCGAUCGCCUUGCCAGGAGCUGUGGAGAAGACGCGCUCGUAGUCAGGCACAAAAAGAUGUCCGCGUUUUCACCACAGCGCAGUUCAGUGUGGUGUUAGAGAAAGAAAUGCGCCAGGUAGGUGUGUUGCGGAAAUGCAGAGCCCUCUUUUAACCCAGUGAAGGAGUCCAGGAAAGAAGCGAGGAGAGAAGCAUCACCUAUGCCGGUCCUGGAGCCAGUACAGUUAGAGGAGCUGAGGAGGCUGCAGAAGCAAAUAGGCCACAACCGAAAGGGCCGCAUUUGGCACGUUUACGAGUUAGAGAUGAAGCUUGCAUGGACUCACAAGUGGAUUCCCUAGUGACGCUGUGGGGAGCCUGUGCAAGAAGCUGCAGUGGAUACCGAUAGACCUUCAUCCAGCCCCCUAUCUAGAUAAAUCCCCAGACCCUGGUCAUGUCCAAGCUCGCAGUGUAUACUUCUCCGUCAAUAACAGCUGGUACGCUUCACGUGUUAGCCAGGAUCAGCGAUUCCCUUGAUACCUGUGCUGUUACUUCAAGGGUAAAAGUAUACUAUGUCCUUGCCAACUGUGGCAGCAUGUUUCUUGGUAAAAAAAAAAAAAAAAAAAAUGUAUGCUUAAUCUUGAUGGUCUCACUACUACAUUAA
rnacentral:lncRNA from 1 species